GGGCCUACGGGACGCAGCAGUGGGGGAUAUUGCACAAUGGGGGAAACCCUGAUGCAGCGACGCCGCGUGGGCGAAGAAGUCUUUCGGUAUGUCAAGCCCUAUCAGCAGGGACGAAGAAAUGACGGUACCUGAGUAAGAAGCACCGGCUAAAUACGUGCCAGCAGCCGCGGUAAUACGUAUGGUGCAAGCGUUAUCCGGAUUUACUGGGUGUCAAGGGAGCGCCGGCGGCACGGCAAGCCUGAUGUGAAAGCCCGCGGCCCAACCGCGGGCCUGCAUUGGGCACUACCUGGCUGGAGUGCCGGAGG
rnacentral:rRNA from 1 species